UACGUAGGGUGCAAGCGUUGUCCGGAAUUAUUGGGCGUAAAGAGCUCGUAGGCGGUCUGUCGCGUCGGCUGUGAAAUCCCGAGGCUCAACCUCGGGUCUGCAGUCGAUACGGGCAAACUGGAGUGUUGCAGGGGAGACUGGAAUUCCUGGUGUAGCGGUGAAAUGCGCAGAUAUCAGGAGGAACACCGGUGGCGAAGGCGGUUCUCUGGGCAUUACCUGACGCUGAGGAGCGAAAGCAUGGGGAGCGAACAGG
rnacentral:rRNA from 1 species